rnacentral:rRNA from 1 species
UACGGGGGGAGCAAGCGUUGUUCGGAUUUACUGGGCGUAAAGGGCGCGUAGGCGGUCAGCACAAGUCAGUUGUGAAAUCUCCGGGCUUAACUCGGAAAGGUCAACUGAUACUGUGCGACUAGAGUGCAGAAGGGGCAACUGGAAUUCUCGGUGUAGCGGUGAAAUGCGUAGAUAUCGAGAGGAACACCUGCGGCGAAGGCGGGUUGCUGGGCUGACACUGACGCUGAUGCGCGAAAGCCGGGGGAGCGAACGGG